AUUGAACGCUGGCGGCAUGCUUUACACAUGCAAGUCGAACGGCAGCGGGGAGGAGCUUGCUUCUCUGCCGGCGAGUGGCGAACGGGUGGGUAAUACAUCGGAACGUGUCGAGAAGAGGGGGAUAACCACCCGAAAGGGUGGCUAAUACCGCAUAAAUUCUGAGGAAGAAAGCUGGGGACCUAGGAAUAGGCCUAGCGCUUUUUGAGCGGCCGAUGUCGGAUUAGCUAGUUGGUGAGGUAAAGGCUCACCAAGGCGAAGAUCUGUAGCGGGUCUGAGAGGAUGAUCCGCCACACUGGGACUGAGACACGGCCCAGACUCCUACGGGAGGCAGCAGUGGGGAAUUUUGGACAAUGGGGGCAACCCUGAUCCAGCCAUGCCGCGUGUAUGAAGAAGGCCUUAGGGUUGUAAAGUACUUUUGUUAGGGAAGAAAAGUCAGCUGUGAAUAAUGGCUGAUACUGACGGUACCUAAAGAAUAAGCACCGGCUAACUACGUG
rnacentral:rRNA from 1 species